rnacentral:rRNA from 1 species
UACGUAGGGUGCGAGCGUUAAUCGGAAUUACUGGGCGUAAAGCGUGCGCAGGCGGCGCGUUAAGACAGGUGUGAAAGCCCCGAGCUUAACUUGGGAAUUGCGCUUGUGACUGGCGUGCUGGAGUGUGGCAGAGGGAGGUGGAAUUCCACGUGUAGCAGUGAAAUGCGUAGAGAUGUGGAGGAACACCGAUGGCGAAGGCAGCCUCCUGGGCCAGCACUGACGCUCAUGCACGAAAGCGUGGGGAGCAAACAG